AGCAUAUCAAUAAGCGGAGGAAAAGAAACCAACAGGGAUUACCUCAGUAACGGCGAGUGAAGCGGUAACAGCUCAAAUUUGAAAUCUGGCUCUUUUAGGGUCCGAGUUGUAAUUUGUAGAAGAUGCUUUGGGUGUGGCCCCGGUCUAAGUUCCUUGGAACAGGACGUCAUAGAGGGUGAGAAUCCCGUAUGUGACUGGGUGCUUUCGCCCGUGUAAAGCUCUUUCGACGAGUCGAGUUGUUUGGGAAUGCAGCUCAAAAUGGGUGGUAAAUUUCAUCUAAAGCUAAAUAUUGGCCAGAGACCGAUAGCGCACAAGUAGAGUGAUCGAAAGAUGAAAAGCACUUUGGAAAGAGAGUUAAACAGUACGUGAAAUUGUUGAAAGGGAAGCGCUUGCAACCAGACUCGCAUGCCGUCGAUCAUCCUGGGUUCUCCCUGGUGCACUCGGCGGCGUUCGGGCCAGCAUCAGUUUCGGUGGUGGGAUAAAGGCCUUGGGAAUGUAGCUUCUUUCGGGGAGUGUUAUAGCCCUCGGUGCAAUGCCGCCUACCGGGACUGAGGACCGCGCUUCGGCUAGGAUGCUGGCGUAAUGGUUGUAAGCGACCCGUCUUGAAACACGGACCAAGGAGUCUAACAUCUAUGCGAGUAUUUGGGUGUUAAACCCAUAUGCGUAAUGAAAGUGAACGGAGGUGAGAACCCUUAAGGGUGCAUCAUCGACCGAUCCUGAUGUCUUCGGAUGGAUUUGAGUAAGAGCAUAGCUGUUGGGACCCGAAAGAUGGUGAACUAUGCCUAAAUAGGGUGAAGCCAGAGGAAACUCUGGUGGAGGCUCGCAGCGGUUCUGACGUGCAAAUCGAUCGUCAAAUUUGGGUAUAGGGGCGAAAGACUAAUCGAACCAUCUAGUAGCUGGUUCCUGCCGAAG
rnacentral:rRNA from 1 species